AUGACAGCCCUGGGAACUGAACCUAUACUUUUCCUUUCUUUGUUUCUCUCUCUCUCUCUCUCUCUCUCUCUCUCUCUCUCUCUCUCUCUCUCUCUCUCUCUCUCUCUCUUUGUUUCUUCCCUUGUCUGUCUUUAUUUGGGUCUCUGUCUCUUUAUCUCUUUUUCUCUGUCCCUGUCUCUGUCUCUGUUUCUCUUUGUCUCUGUCUCUUUUUGUGUCUACCUUUGUCACGUCACUCUUUUGUCUCUUUGUCUUUGCCCUAUCUCUGCCUUUGUCUCCGUAUCUCUGUGUCUCUCUGUCUCUGUCCCUGUCUCUCUGAAGCCCUCUCUUGACUCUGUCUCGCCUCUUUCUGUGUCUGUCUUCGGGAGGGAAGCUGGGAAUGAAAUGCGGUCGCCCGGGAGAGGUUCAGAGCGGCGGGGCUGGCCCUCGAGGGCUGCCUUUGAAUCGGCCCUUCAUCGCCUCUUUCCUGGAGGGAGGACCGGCUUCGGAGGCGAGCUCAGCCUCUGGGGCCCUUGGGGAUCCGCCCGCCUUUUCACAAGCAGCCUCGGAAUUUGUCUUGGCCGCCCCUGUGCUCGCAGCCGGCGGAUCGUGCCCUUCAAGCGGCUACUCCCGGGUGACUUGAAUCAGGCUAGAGCAGGAAGUUGGUUUUUCAGUGCUCGAGUCAACAUGUGGGUGUGUAAACACGGACCAAUUUCGGUGUCGAGUCAACUGUUUUUAAAUGGGGACUUUCACGUGCGUCAGACCUUUCAAACUAACAUAAUAUUUAAACAGAAAUCUGUUUCCCCUUCUAGGAGCAGAAGCCAAGACUGAUGAUAUUCCUGUUCCAGCCAGAGGCUUCCCCGCUCCUCCUGGGUCACAGCUGGGCUGAGUGAGGUCAUAAUGUGGAGGGCAUGAUGUCAUCCUCUAUCUCCCCAGGGCCUCAGUGUACCUACCCAGCCAUUUGUGAAGUUUGGGGCAAUUUUUUAAAGUUCUCACCUUCUUAGAAUCAAUGCCAAUUAGCCUUUCCAAGGCAGAAGAGUGGUAAGGGCUAGGCAAUGGGGAUAAGUGACUUGCCCAGGGUCACAGAGGUAGGAAGUAUCUGAGGCCAGAAUUGAACCCAGGACUUCCUAUCUGUAGGCCUGGCUCUCAAUCCACUAUGCCAUUCAUGUGCCCUCCAUUUAGCAUUUUCUUGGCAAAGAUACUAGAAUGGUUUGCUAUUUCCUCCUCCAGCUCAUUUUACAGAUGAGGAAACCGAGGCACAGGGUGAAGUGACUUGUCCAGGGUCCCACAGCUAGAAAGUGUCUCAUGCCAGAUUUGAACUCAGGAAGAAGAGUCUUCCUGACUCCAGAUCGGCUGCCUCUCUGUGUCCCUGGGCAUUCACAGGCCCAAAUCAGAUCAUCCCUAACCUCAAGGAGCUUCCAUUUGACCAUGAUGGAGAGGGGAGAGUUGGGAAUGUGCUCACAGAUAACUGGGACCCGAAGAUGGAGGCAAAGCAGAGAGUUAGACAAACUUCUCAAAGAAAACUGGAUGGGGGGGAUGCUUUGGGCUGUGGGGGAGGCCGGGCCGAGGUCAUGCCUAGGUAACGAGGAGCAGGUCUUCCUGCAGAUUCCACAGGCCCAUUCUUUCCAUCGCACGCUCCUCUCCUCCCUCUUAUGAAAGCAAGGCCUUUUGGAAGUUCAGAAGAAUUCGAUUUCUUUAAUAGCAACCUGCAGGAAAUACAUUAAAAACACAUUCUAUCAGUUACAAAUCUUCAUGUCACCAGCCAAGGAUGAGGGAAUUAAAGCCGGGGCCCAAAAUACAUAUAGUCAGCAACUCUGGGGCAAGGGCAGAAAGGAUUUAUAGAGUGCGAGGUCUGGACGUCUGGAACGAGGCGUGCCGAGCUCUGAUCUGAAAUGGAAACAGGGCUGGUUUCAGGCUGGGCCGGGGGGAGGUCAUCCGCAUCCAUUCAAUCAUUGUUUCCCAUUUAUUCUCCAUGUAAAUAAUUUCUGAAAUGUUCCUAAGGCCGGGCUCUGGCUUGUAGCAGGGAGGCGGGUUCAUUAAGGUGGGCCGCUGCCGCCGAGGGGCAUUUUGAAAAAUUCCACCUCAAGAAAAGCAAACUCUUAAAAACCCCAUACAGUCUUCCCUGGGGGGACCCCCUCCUCCUGCCCCCAGCCCAGUCCCUUCAACUCUGAACAGGUCUCUGGCAGAGCUCUGGCUAAGGCGCUCAGGGCAACGAGGUCUGUGCCCAGGGUGCCAACAUCAGCCUGAGGGGGCCUCUGCCGGGGAGCCCGGCCCCCCAAACGCUGCCCUUCUGCCCACUGACUUGAGGCUUCUUUCUCUGGCCACGCUCCUUUCCUCUCUGCCCCAAUGCCCGACCUCCCUGUGCUUUGGGAUACCACCUCUUUCCCCCGGCCCUCAUCCAUCCAUCCAACUGGUGCCCCAGGGGCAAGAAUUCUUAGUUCUGGCUUUGAUCUCCAAUCUACACAGGGAAAGUAAAGGUGAGACCUGAUUGAUGGUUCUGCAGAGUGUGGACAAUCUGAAUCAUUAAAAUGGUUCUCCCCACUCCCCGUUUUAUUGAAUCUGGAUUGGACUCCAUCUACCAAAAGUCAACCUUUGAAUAGGGUGGGGGGUGUAUGGGGUGAAUAAUGCCCCCCAGUAGGUAGACCGGUUAAGGGAAGUGUUGGGAACACACAAACGCUCCCUUGGCUCACAGGUGCUCACAGAUGGGGCCCGGGGCUGAUUAAGGCAAGUGAUGUUUUGAAUUAGGACGGGGAAGUAGGUAUUGCCUUCAAGAAACAAAACAUCCCUCAAUGAACUCAAUGAACGAGCAGAGGUCAGGCUUAGGUCUUUAGUUAUUAGUCUCCCCUUUACGCAUCACGGUAAUGCAGGAAAGCAUUUCCACUGCCCUGACCUGCCUGGAAUGUCUGGAGAGGGACAAAGGAGGCAGGAAAAUGGCUCCCCUUAGAAUGACGGAGUUGGAAGAGAUCCACUAAUUCCACAUCUUUGCAUUGUUCAGUUGUGUCCAACUCUUUAUGACCUCAUUUGGGGUAUUCUUAGCAGAGAUACUGGGGUGGUUUGCCAUUUCCUUCUCUGGCUCAUUGGCAGAUGAGGAUACUGAGAGAAACAGGACAAAGUGACUUGCCCAGGGUCACACAAACUAUAAAGUGUCUAAGGUUGGAUUUGAACUCAGGAAGAUGAGUCUUCCUGAUUCCAAGCCCAGUGCUCUGUCCUCUGUACUCUCUAGCUGCCCCUGUCCUCAUAUUACAAGUAAGAUAACAAAGGUCUAGGGAAGCAUUUUGCUCAUAGCCACAUAGAAGGUUUUAAGCAGAGCCAGGAUGAGAACCCAGGUUUCUAGAUUGCCCAGAUGCUACUUUUUCUUUUUCUUUUCUUUGUUUUUUUUACACCCUUACCUUCCAUCUUAGAAUUAAUACUGUGUAUUGGUUCCAAGGCAGAAGAGUGGUAAGGGCUAGGCAAUAGGGGUCAAGUGACUUGCCCAGGGUUACACAGCUAGGAAGUGUGAGGUCAGGUUUGAUUCCAGGACCUCCUGUCUCUAAGUCUGGCUCUCAAUCCACUGAGCCACCUAGCUGCCCCCAAGAGGCUAUUUUUUCUACUACAUUACCCUUUAUAUGAAACAUUCUCCAGUCUCACCCAAACAACUGAUUCUGAGAAUCCCAGAAAGUGAAAGCUUUGGCUUCAUUCCCUAAAGAGUGAUCAAAAACUGGCCACCACUGGCAAAGACCUCAUAUGACUGCAGGAGGGUCUGUUACAGCAUUGUGGAUUCACUUCAGAAAUAGGAUGAAGGGAAAGGUGCUUGUUUAGGAGUCAGAGGAGAUUGUUUUGAACCUCAGCUUUGCUCUCUAGUUCCCUAGGUGACUUUUAGGCAAUCUCUAUGAAUUAAAGCUUUGGCAGAAACAAGGCUAACCACAGCAAAACCAACAGGGGCUGGAAAAAUAGCCUUGGGGCAAAACAUGUUUUAAAGCCCCCUACACAAAGAACAUCACAUUACCUGCCCUCAUUCAGACUUCUGACUGUGAAGGGAAGAUACUACCAAAGCAAAGCCCUGCAAGACAGAAGCUAAAAAAGCAAUGUCUACCAACAUACAGGAACCCCAAUCCACUAGUGGCAAAAGGAAUAAGCAACAGUAAAAAAUACCCUUGACCCUGGAUAAUUUCUAUGGAGAAAUAGAACAAAAUGCAGAAACAAUAGCAGAGAGUGACAAACAAGAAAACAUAUCCAAGCUUUCAAAAAAAAUAGAAAUUGGUCACAAGCUCUCAAGGAACUCAAAAAGGAGUUCAAGAACCAAAUAAGAAAGAUAAAAUAAAAAUGGGAAGAAUAUGGGGGAAAGAAACA
rnacentral:lncRNA from 1 species